UUGAAAGGGAAACGAUUGAAGUCAGUCGUACCUAUGGGUAAUCAGCCUUUCGGGUGCGAUUCUGUGAGGUGUGAGGAGUUAAACGCCUUCAUGUUUUGCAUAUUCGUGCUCUUGGGUGUACUUGCCCGUGUGGUUGGUUAACAUCAAUUUUGGACGCCAUAAAAUGACUGGAGGAAUGUAGCUUCGAUCUCGUAUUGAAGUGUUAUAGCCUUCGGUAGAUGUGGUUUUCGAGAUUGAGGAUUGCAACGGAUACCCUUCGGGGCUACCUAUCUGAUCUCUGAUUGUUGCUCUGGUGCCGAAAGCUUGCUUACGGUUAUCAAAGUCGAUGCGAUGGUCAAUAGGUUAGAAUAGGUUAAAUUCGUUAAGGAUGUUGACGUA
rnacentral:rRNA from 1 species